GAUGAACGCUGGCGGCGUGCCUAAUACAUGCAAGUCGAGCGAACAGACGAGAAGCUUGCUUCUCUGAUGUUAGCGGCGGACGGGUGAGUAACACGUGGGUAACCUACCUAUAAGACUGGGAUAACUCCGGGAAACCGGGGCUAAUACCGGAUAAUAUUUUGAACCGCAUGGUUCGAUAGUGAAAGACGGUUUCGGCUGUCACUUAUAGAUGGACCCGCGCCGUAUUAGCUAGUUGGUAGGGUAACGGCUUACCAAGGCGACGAUACGUAGCCGACCUGAGAGGGUGAUCGGCCACACUGGAACUGAGACACGGUCCAGACUCCUACGGGAGGCAGCAGUAGGGAAUCUUCCGCAAUGGGCGAAAGCCUGACGGAGCAACGCCGCGUGAGUGAUGAAGGUCUUCGGAUCGUAAAACUCUGUUGUUAGGGAAGAACAAAUUUGUUAGUAACUGAACAAGUCUUGACGGUACCUAACCAGAAAGCCACGGCUAACUACGUGCCAGCAGCCGCAGUAA
rnacentral:rRNA from 1 species